UACGUAGGGUGCAAGCGUUGUCCGGAAUUAUUGGGCGUAAAGAGCUCGUAGGCGGUCUGUCGCGUCGGCUGUGAAAUCCCGAGGCUCAACCUCGGGUCUGCAGUCGAUACGGGCAAACUGGAGUGUUGCAGGGGAGACUGGAAUUCCUGGUGUAGCGGUGAAAUGCGCAGAUAUCAGGAGGAACACCGGUGGCGAAGGCGGGUCUCUGGGCCAUAACUGACGCUGAGAAGCGAAAGCAUGGGGAGCGAACAGG
rnacentral:rRNA from 1 species